GGGGUUGUGGCUCAGGGGUAGAGUGUUCACCUACUACAUGUGAGGCCCUGGGUUCGAUCCUCAGCACCACA
rnacentral:tRNA from 1 species